GAUGAACGCUGGCGGCGUGCCUAAUACAUGCAAGUCGAACGCUGGAGAUCUAGCUUGCUAGAUCGAAGGAGUGGCGAACGGGUGAGUAAUACAUAAGCAACCUACCCACGAAGACUGGGAUAAUCUCUGGAAACGAGGACUAAUACCGGAUAGGUAAUCGGAAGGCAUCUUCUGGUUAUUAAAGGUUAAAAACACUGGUGGAUGGGCUUAUGGCGCAUUAGUUAGUUGGUGAGGUAACGGCCCACCAAGACGAUGAUGCGUAGCCGGCCUGAGAGGGUGAACGGCCACAUUGGGACUGAGACACGGCCCAGACUCCUACGGGAGGCAGCAGUAGGGAAUUUUCGGCAAUGGGGGCAACCCUGACCGAGCAACGCCGCGUGAGUGAAGACGGCCUUCGGGUUGUAAAGCUCUGUUGUAAGGGAAGAACGGUAGAUAGAGAAUAUCUAAGUGACGGUACCUUACCAGAAAGCCACGGCUAACUACGUG
rnacentral:rRNA from 1 species